GCUUACGGCCAUACCACCCUGAGCGCGCCCGAUCUCGUCCGAUCUCGGAAGCUAAGCAGGGUCGGGCCUGGUUAGUACUUGGAUGGGAGACCGCCUGGGAAUACCAGGUGCUGUAAGCC
ensembl:rRNA 5S_rRNA 5S ribosomal RNA